GACGAACCGUGCGAACGUUGUUCGGAGUCAUUGGGCUUAAAGGGCGCGUAGGCGGGCUAUCAAGUCCGGGGUGAAAUACUCCAGCUCAACUGGAGAACGGCCUCGGAUACUGAUGGUCUCGAGGAAGAUAGGGGCGUGCGGAACUGGGGGUGGAGCGGUGAAAUGCGUUGAUAUCCCUAGGAACUCCGGUGGCGAAGGCGGCACGCUGGAUCUUUUCUGACGCUGAGGCGCGAAAGCUAGGGUAGCGAACGGG
rnacentral:rRNA from 1 species